rnacentral:lncRNA from 1 species
AGUUUUUGGUCAAGGUAGUUUUUGAUGAAGUUGAAGUCCAAUCAACUUGAAACUUAGUAUACAUGUGCCCUAUGAUAUGAUCUUUCUAAUUUAAAUGCCAAAUUAGAGUUUUGACCCCAAUUUUACGGUUCACUGAACAUAGAAAAUGAUAGUGCAAAUUUCAGGUUAAAGUUUUUGGCUUCAGGUUAAAGUUUUUGGUCAAGGUAGUUUUUGAUGAAGUUGAAGUCCAAUCAACUUGAAACUUAGUAUACAUGUACCCUAUGAUAUGAUCUUUCUAAUUUAAAUGCCAAAUUAGAGUUUUGACCCCAAUUUUACGGUUCACUGAACAUAGGAAAUGA